UUUUCUAUCCAUAUAUAAUAAGUAUAUGCAUAUUCUAGUUACUGGGUAGGAUUAGUAACCAGAUUAAAUCGGGUACAUUUUUUUAUCCAGCCGUGCAAAUACUGCCCCCUAGCCCCAACAGGUUAACCCUUCAAAACAGCCCCUAUGACACCAUUUUAAGGCACUUCUGGUUGACACAGAAAUCUGAACGAUAGGCUCUUAUAGAAUAUUGAGUUUUAGGUCUUUAUGUUAAGAACUGACUUAUUUACAGAGGGUUGAACAAGUGUGUGUUGUUUCAGAAAAUCACAGAAAUCUCGCAGAGCUCCGAAACCCGCCUUAACGGACUCAUCUGAACACGCUGCAACUGGAUAUGUAACUUUUUUGAAAAAAAACCUCCUAUUGUUGAAUAUCACCAAUGUGUCAUUGUACAAUUUCUCUGAAAUGAACAUUGGUAAAUGCAUGGUUCCUUUUUUCCUGACACCGUAGGCUCAUGUAGUUUGAUGUGAAGCGGUUAAAUCAGCACCCUAUUUUCCAGUUUGACUUUCAAUCCCAGAAAAAUUGCCUUAACUCGAAAAGCGUCGAGGCCUCGACGCCAUCCUGUUCGGGGCCAACUGCCCAUAAUGCCAAACCCACGCAGACCGAG
rnacentral:lncRNA from 1 species